rnacentral:tRNA from 1 species
GGAGAUGUACCCAAGUGGUUGAAGGGGAGUGUUUGCUAAACACUUAGAGUUCGUAAUGGGCUGCGGAGGUUCGAAUCCUCUCAUCUCCGCCA